UUGUAAAUGUGUAACAGGUUCCUUAUCUGGUUCUGGAUGGUUGUUGAUCCAAAGGAUGGCCAGAGUAGUAGUGAAACACAGCUAUAAUGGGGCGGGAGCAGAAUAGGGUGGCUGAUGCAUUGGCAAAGGAAGGAGCAAAAACAAGCUUUUUAGGAAGAACAAUAAUGCUACCAGUUCCUCCGUGUUUGCAAAUGAAUUAUUUUGGGCAGACAUCCUAGGAACUAAAGUAACUAUAAAUAUUUUAUCUUGUAAUAUCGACACGUUGGAACAAAACAUAUCUGUCUUAGGGGGAUUGCAAUAUCCCCCAAGUAAUCAGUACUUUGUAGUGUAAUUAUUUAUGUAUAUGCAAUCUCCUUUACCAAAAAGAAAAAAGGAAUGACAACAGCCCUCUUGAUUGA